AUUGAACGCUGGCGGCAUGCCUUACACAUGCAAGUCGAACGGCAGCUCGGGUGCUUGCACCUGGUGGCGAGUGGCGAACGGGUGAGUAAUACAUCGGAACAUGUCCUGUAGUGGGGGAUAGCCCGGCGAAAGCCGGAUUAAUACCGCAUACGAUCUACGGAUGAAAGCGGGGGACCUUCGGGCCUCGCGCUAUAGGGUUGGCCGAUGGCUGAUUAGCUAGUUGGUGGGGUAAAGGCCUACCAAGGCGACGAUCAGUAGCUGGUCUGAGAGGACGACCAGCCACACUGGGACUGAGACACGGCCCAGACUCCUACGGGAGGCAGCAGUGGGGAAUUUUGGACAAUGGGCGAAAGCCUGAUCCAGCAAUGCCGCGUGUGUGAAGAAGGCCUUCGGGUUGUAAAGCACUUUUGUCCGGAAAGAAAUCCUUGGCCCUAAUACGGUCGGGGGAUGACGGUACCGGAAGAAUAAGCACCGGCUAACUACGUG
rnacentral:rRNA from 1 species